rnacentral:rRNA from 1 species
UACAGAGGUCCCGAGCGUUGUUCGGAUUUAUUGGGCGUAAAGGGUGCGUAGGCGGCGGAGUAAGUUGGGUGUGAAAUCCCGAGGCUCAACCUCGGAAUUGCAUUCAAUACUGCUUCGCUCGAGUACUGGAGAGGAGGCUGGAAUUUACGGUGUAGCAGUGAAAUGCGUAGAUAUCGUAAGGAAGGCCGGUGGCGAAAGCGAGCCUCUGGACAGUUACUGACGCUGAUGCACGAAGGCCAGGGGAGCAAACGGG